rnacentral:rRNA from 1 species
UCAGACGAUGCGUCAUGCAUAUCAAUAAGCGGAGGAAAAGAAACUAACAAGGAUUCCCUUAGUAACGGCGAGUGAAGCGGGAAGAGCUCAAAUUUGAAAUCUUCAAGGUUUUACCUUGACGAAUUGUAGUUUAAAGAAGUGUUUCCUGUUGAAGUUUUGGUAAAAGUUCUUUGGAAUAGGACAUCAUAGAGGGUGAGAAUCCCGUAUUUGACUAUUAUUUUCAGCUGUGUGAUACACUUCCAAAGAGUCGGAUUGUUUGGGAAUGCAGUCCAAAAUGGGUGGUAAAUUUCAUCUAAAGCUAAAUAUUGGCGAGAGACCGAUAGCGAACAAGUACCGUGAGGGGAAGAUGAAAAGAACUUUGAAAAGAGAGUUAAACAGUACGUGAAAUUGUCAAAAGGGAAGCGUUUGACACCAGUGUUGUUUUCUCGAAAAUCAAUUAAAAAGAGGCCUGGAUUUUGUGUUGUAUUGACCUUUAAUCAGCUUGCUUCACUCUUUUCCUUGUCUUUUUUUAAUGCACUUUUCGUUUAACAAGUCAACAUCAGUUUCUUUUGUUGUAAAAGGGUCAUUGGAAGGUGGCUUUCUCUUCGGAGAAAGUGUUUAUAGCCUUUGCUCUCUGCAAUCGGAGAGAUUGAGGUCUAGCAGCGUAGAUCCUUCGGGGUUAGAUACAUUUGUGCUAAGUUAUAGCCUUUCAUAGACAACUUGUUGACUAUGUUUAGUCUUGUAACUUACCCGCUUAUGCUAUAUUACCUACGCUUAGGAUGUUGAUAUGCAUGACUGAUAU